AAAACGAAACAGCAGCAGCAGAAAUACAGGUAUUUCAUCUUUCUUCGUCUUCUUCUUCUUCUUCUUUUUCUUCCGCUUUCUCUUGAU
rnacentral:ribozyme from 16 species